GACACAAGGAGAGGCUUGGAGAGAGCAGACGCCUUCUGGAUUCAAGAAGACGAGGUGAGCUGAGGCUCACCUGUUACUCGGCCUCCCAGAAAGAUGGAUAGGAGAAAUGACUACGGAUAUAGGGUGCCUCUAUUUCAGGGCCCUCUGCCUCCCCCGGGGAGCCUGGGGCUUCCCUUCCCUCCAGAUAUACAGACUGAGACCACAGAAGAAGACAGUGUCUUGCUGAUGCAUACCCUGUUGGCGGCAACCAAGGACUCCCUGGCCAUGGACCCACCAGUUGUCAACCGGCCUAAGAAAAG
rnacentral:sRNA from 1 species